UUUCCGUAGGUGAACCUGCGGAAGGAUCAUUAUCGUACAAAAUGUGAGGGGCAUGCGAGGGCUGUCGCUGCCCCAAAAGUCGUGCACGCCCGAGUGUGUCCCCUUGCAUAAUAAUCCAUCUCACCCUUUGUGCAUCACCGCGUGGGCACCCUUCGGGAUCAUCUCGGAGGGGGCUCGCGUUUUCACACAAACCCCCCUUUUAAAAGUGUAGAAUGACCACAUUUAUGCAAUCAAUACAACUUUCAACAACGGAUCUCUUGGCUCUC
rnacentral:misc_RNA from 1 species